CUCUCAUUACUUAAUAUUAUAUUUAUAUGUUAUAUAUUUGUGUAGAUAAGAAGAAGAAGAGAUAAGAAUAAGAAAAAGGAAAAAUAAGAAAACCAGUAAGGGAAAAGAGAGAAAGGAGAAAGAAGAAAGGAAAGCAAAAAAGAGGAAAGAAAGAAGGGAAGCAGAAGAGGGAACUCAUCACCAUCAUCAUCACCACCACCAUCAUUUUCUCUCAUUUCUUCACCAAUCUUCAUCAUCUUUAUCAAUCUAAGGUGGGUU
rnacentral:lncRNA from 1 species